UUUAACAGUUAGCUUGUACUGCACAUAAUUGACAUUUUAAAUUUAAUUAGUCCAAAUACAUAAUUUUUCACAAAUGGUUUCAUUAUAUGUACCAGGUUUAUUUCUAAAGUUGCAAAACACUUGACUGACUUCAAAUCAAAGAUACUGUAAAGCCCAAUGAAUAACAUCUCUUUUACACGAGUCGUAGUGUCUUGUUUAAAAUGUUGGUAGUCAUAACUUUCUUGAUGCUCAGCCGGGGUUUGCAUCCUGCUGAACUGGUGCAGUGGGGACAGUAGAGGCAUUUUGACAGAUCCCAGAAGAAAUCCUCUGACCCCAUGUCAGCCAGCCAAACAGAACUGUUGACUGACAACAUCUUGUACAAUCCAUGACAA